CCCAGCCCCUCCCUCACUGCCGCCGCCUUUCCUGUAGCGCCCUCGAGCGGCCACCUGUGCUCCCCCGUGCACCUCGUCCUCCCCCGCCCACCCCGGCCCUCACCUGUGCUCCCCCGUGCACCGUCCUCCCCCGCCCACCCCUGCCCACCCCGGCCCUCACCUGUGCUCCCCCGUGCACCUCGUCCUCCCCCGUCCUCCCCUGCCCUCGCCUGUGCUCCCCCGUGCACCCCGUCCUCCCCUGUGCACCUCCGUCCUCCCCUGCCCUCGCCUGUGCUCCCCCGUGCACCCCGUCCUCCCCUGCCCUCACCUGUGCUCCCCCGUGCACCCCGUCCUCCCCUGCCCUCACCUGUGCUCCCCCGUGCACCCCGUCCUCCCCCGCCCACCCCGUCCUCCCCUGUGCACCUCCGUCCUCCCCUGUCCUCCUCUCUGCACCUCCAUGCACCCCGUUCUCUCCGAUGCUCACCCAGGAGCGCUAGGCGUCAGCAGGCCUGGGAGCCUGGACGACUGGCCCCUCGGUGUCCUCUCGGGCCUGUGGCCUGUGCCUCCCUGGCCAGGGACAGAAGCUCCCAAGUCGCGCCGGGAGAGCGCGGGCGCCUGCUGGCGCUCCUGGGGUGCCCGAGACGCUGCCCGCAGCAGGCGCCCUCCAGAGACUGCGGGUCGCGGAGUCGCGUUCGCCGCUGCGUUCCCAGCCUCCCUGUGAGCCCGGAGGAGACGCGGGCUCGACUGGGCUCGCUAAGCAGGGGCCGGGCCGCAGUCUUGGAUCCAGCGCGAGCCGGGGCCGCUGCGGGGUGGCCGAGCCUGGGAAAGCGGGCGCGCAUCAGCCGGGUCUCCCGAGGAGAAGCCGUGCUUCCGGUCACCACUCCACGCCGUCGGGGCUGGGAGGCCCCCGGGCCGCGGCCGAGGGCAGCGGCAAAGUCCGGAGGCCGCGGCAAGUCCACGGCCGUGCGCACAGCCCCGGGCCAGCCACGCCAGGCGAGAGACGGUGGAGCUGGCUCCCGGGAAUCCGAUUCGGUUUGA
rnacentral:lncRNA from 1 species